UAGCGAAGCAUCUACAGUACUUCUUAGUGUGUACUAGAUAACCAAGGAAGGCGAGGCAAGGAUGCCGAAUUGAAGGUGGUUCCGUAAUGUUUUGAUAACUUACCGUACACACUUAGAAGUACUUAGAUGUGUAGCGU
rfam:Anaerosporobacter mobilis DSM 15930 genome assembly, contig: EJ17DRAFT_scaffold00012.12